rnacentral:sRNA from 1 species
GCAUGAUGGCUGCUGGGCGUGGAGGUGUCGAGACUGACUGCUGGGGCUGCUCCAUCGUUGUCUGAGCCUCCCGAUGCUGCUGUUGUGGCCGUUUCUUUGAUGAGGCUCCCAGAGGCCGAGUCAUUCACUGCAGGUUGGCCGGCCUGAGGCUGCCCAUGCCCAUAUUCCGGCUGGAGCCUCUGAGGCCACACAAACGCCGGCUGGGGAGGCGAAGUGUGGAGCUGAGGACCAGAACUCCAGGAGCGUCUGGGCUGGAGACAGAACUGGGUGGGCAGGUGGGGAGGGCCUGCAGAUCUGAGUGGGCAGCAGAGGAGGAACCCAGAAGACGCCAGCAAUGGAGCUCUGCCGGGGUGGAAUAUGGCCAGGAGGGGUGGGAGCAGUGACGGCCUGUCCGGCGCUAGAACGAGGGACCGUGCUCUCAGGACCUCUGGAUGUUCCCGAAUAUCCUGAUGUUCCACCCAGAAGCCGCCAGGGCCAUCCUGGAGUACCGCAUCCGCACGCUGGGCGGGGCCCUGGAGAACGCCCAGAACCUGGGCUACCAGGGAGCCAAGUUUGCCUGGGAGAGUGCAGGCUCCGGCCUAGAGGUUUGCCCUGAGGACAUUUACGGAGCCCAGGAGGUCCACGUCAAUGGGGCCGUGGUGUUGGCCUUCGAGCUGUACUACCAUACCACCCAGGACCUGCAGCUAUUUCAAGAGGCUGGUGGCUGGGACGUGGUCAGGGCUGUGGCUGAGUUUUGGUGCAGUCGUGUUGAGUGGAUCCCCAGGGAGGAGGAGUACCACCUGAGGGGAGUCAUGUCCCCCGACGAGUACCAUUCAGGGGUCAACAACUCUGUGUACACAAACAUCCUGGUCCAGAACAGGUCAGACACAAGAUCCCCUCACCUCACCCCACCCCCGCCCCAGCUGGAGACCUGCUCCAGUGCCCCCACUAGGCAGGCAGCAGCUGGAAGCGUAGGGGUUACAGCCUCCCCCACCUACCUCCACCUCCAGCCUGCGCUUUGCUGCUGCCCUGGCCCAGGACCUGGGUCUGCCCAUCCCCAGCCAGUGGCUGGCGGUGGCUGACAAGAUCAAGGUACCCUUUGACGUGGAGCAGAACUUCCACCCGGAGUUCGAUGGGUAUGAGCCUGGUGAGUGGACCCCUUCAAGGGCUCCUCCCCUGCCGUCGAGACCCUCGAGUCUGUCCCGGAACACCCCCCAGUCAGCGGCACCUCCCUGUAGGAGAGGUGGUGAAGCAGGCAGACGUCGUGCUCCUGGGAUACCCCGUCCCCUUCUCCCUGAGUCCUGAAGUUCGCAGGAAAAACCUGGAGAUUUACGAGGCUGUGACGUCCCCCCAGGGCCCCGCCAUGACCUGGAGCAUGUUUGCUGUGGGCUGGAUGGAGCUGAAGGACGCAGCGCGGGCCCGGGGCCUCCUGGACAGGAGUUUUGCCAACAUGGCUGAACCCUUCAAGGUGUGGACAGAGAAUGCAGACGGGUCAGGUGCUGUGAACUUCCUGACAGGCAUGGGGGGCUUCCUGCAGGCGGUGGUCUUCGGGUGCACAGGGUUCAGGUAAGUGCAGAGGCUGGCAGAGGGCAGCCCACGCCCCCACCUGCCACCUCACAAACCUCUCCUCCCACAGGGUCACCCGAGCGGGUGUGACCUUUGAUCCUGUGUGUUUGUCGGGGAUCUCCAGAGUGAGCGUCUCCGGCAUCUUCUACCAGGGGAACAAGCUCAACUUCUCUUUUUCCGAGGACUCCGUGACCGUGGAGGUCACAGCUCGAGCGGGGCCUUGGGCUCCCCACCUGGAGGCUGAGCUGUGGCCGUCCCAGGCCCGGCUCUCCCUGUUGCCAGGACACAAGGUCUCCUUUCCCCGCUCGGCUGGCCGGAUACAAAGGUCACCCCCGAAGCUGCCUGGAAGUUCCAGCUCCGAGUUCCCUGGGAGAACUUUUUAAGGUGUUGGGGACCCACUCCAGAGCCCCCUCUGGGUCACCCUGGGUUCCUCCAGCCCCACUGAGUCACUCACUGUGGACCCUGCCUCUGAAUAAUCAGGAACGUUGGCUUCAGAGAUGUCUCUUGGGCUUUCCCUCUGGCCACUCCUUCUGCACCCACCCCUCCUAGGCACCCUCCUAGCCUGCCAUCCCUCGCCUGCAGCCAGGCUCUCAGGGAAGGUCCAUGCUGCUUGUGGUCACAGCGGCCGGCCGCUCUGCUGAGAAGGCAGAGAGGCAGGCGCAGGCCUCAGCGUGGACAGCAGGGAUAAGGGGCACGAAGGAUGGGGACUCGGCCCCUUCGGAAUUCCUCAGGACUCUCAGGUGCAGCUUUGCCGAAAAGGAACUUUUCAUGUCGUGCAGUUGAGGGGACUUAGUCUCAAUCCCAGGCUCCUCUUGACUCUGGGCAGCUUUAAUCAGGUUGGGCAGCCUCUGCUACAGCGUGGGGUGGGAUGGCUCUCUUUCCUCAGCCACGCAGCUUGUGAGGACAGAGGUUGGGGAGUGGGAAGUGGGAAGUCACCAGAGAACAGAAGAGGGAUUUGAGAGCGAGACCCCAGCGCUCUCCGGGGACCAGCCAGAGGGACUGGAGCCAGAUGUGCAUGGGUUCAAGGCCCUGGCCCUGCCCAGCCUCUGUCUUGGGGCCUCAGCCCCAGGGUUGGGUCGUCAGCAGUUUCCCAAGAACAAGAUGUGGUGACAUCUGCUGCUGAAACCCUGAUGAGGACCAGGCCCCCUGCACUGCUGUCAGCCUGAGGAAUUAAAGCUUUGGUGCUGGGAAGAGCAUUAUUCC